AUUGUAAGUUGUUGCUCCUCUCUGUACCUCUGUCUUUGCAUUUUUCUCUCUCCUCUUCUGUGGAGGAAACGGAACCAAGACAAAAACCAAACAAAUACACUUCUCUACAGUUACCUUUUUCUUGCUUUCCUAGUUGAAGUAACCAUGGCUCUCAAGCUCAAUCCUUUCCUUUCUCAAUCCCACAAGUUGCCUUCUUUCGCUCUCCCACCAAUGGCCAGCCUCAGAUCUCCAAAGUUCUACUCUACCCUGAAGUCUGGCUCCAAGGAGCUUGAGAAUCUCAAGAAGCCAUUUAUGCCUCCUCGUGAGGUGCAUGUUCAGGUUACCCAUUCUAUGCCUCCCCAAAAGAUUGAGAUCUUUAAAUCUCUGGAGAAUUGGGCAGAGGAGAACAUCCUGAUUCAUCUGAAGCCAGUUGAGAAGUGUUGGCAACCACAGGAUUUUUUGCCAGAUCCUGCCUCUGAUGGAUUUCAUGAACAAGUCAAGGAACUUAGGGAGAGAGCGAAGGAGAUUCCAGAUGAUUACUUUGUUGUUUUGGUUGGAGACAUGAUCACUGAAGAAGCUCUUCCCACUUAUCAAACCAUGCUGAAUACCCUAGAUGGAGUUCGGGAUGAAACCGGUGCAAGCCCUACUUCUUGGGCAAUUUGGACAAGGGCAUGGACUGCUGAAGAGAAUAGACAUGGUGACCUCCUCAAUAAGUAUCUCUACCUGUCUGGACGAGUGGACAUGAGGCAAAUUGAGAAGACAAUUCAAUAUUUGAUUGGUUCCGGAAUGGAUCCACGGACAGAAAACAGUCCAUACCUUGGAUUCAUCUACACGUCGUUCCAAGAAAGGGCAACCUUCAUUUCCCAUGGCAACACUGCCAGACUUGCCAAAGAACAUGGAGACAUAAAAUUGGCUCAAAUAUGCGGUACAAUUGCCUCAGAUGAGAAGCGCCAUGAGACAGCAUACACAAAGAUAGUGGAAAAACUCUUUGAGAUUGAUCCUGAUGGAACUGUUAUGGCUUUUGCUGACAUGAUGAGAAAGAAAAUUUCUAUGCCUGCACACUUGAUGUAUGAUGGCCUUGAUGACAAUCUUUUUGACCACUUUUCAGCUGUUGCACAGCGGCUUGGGGGCUACACUGCAAAGGACUAUGCAGAUAUAUUGGAGUUCUUGGUGGGCAGAUGGAAGGUGGAUAAGCUAACAGGACUAUCAUCUGAGGGACAAAAGGCUCAAGAUUACGUUUGCAGGUUACCUCCAAGAAUUAGAAGGCUGGAAGAGAGAGCUCAAGGAAGGGCCAAGGAAGCAAC
rnacentral:misc_RNA from 1 species